rnacentral:rRNA from 1 species
UGGGCCACCGGCUUCAGGUGUUACCGACUUUCAUGACUUGACGGGCGGUGUGUACAAGACCCGGGAACGUAUUCACCGCAGCGUUGCUGAUCUGCGAUUACUAGCGACUCCGACUUCAUGAGGUCGAGUUGCAGACCUCAAUCCGAACUGGGACCGGCUUUUUGGGAUUCGCUCCACCUCACGGUAUUGCAGCCCUUUGUACCGGCCAUUGUAGCAUGCGUGAAGCCCAAGACAUAAGGGGCAUGAUGAUUUGACGUCAUCCCCACCUUCCUCCGAGUUGACCCCGGCAGUAUCCCAUGAGUUCCCACCAUUACGUGCUGGCAACAUAGAACGAGGGUUGCGCUCGUUGCGGGACUUAACCCAACAUCUCACGACACGAGCUGACGACAACCAUGCACCACCUGUUCACCAGUGUCCAAAGAGUCCCGUAUUUCUACGGUGUUCUGGUGUAUGUCAAGCCUUGGUAAGGUUCUUCGCGUUGCAUCGAAUUAAUCCGCAUGCUCCGCCGCUUGUGCGGGUCCCCGUCAAUUCCUUUGAGUUUUAGCCUUGCGGCCGUACUCCCCAGGCGGGGAACUUAAUGCGUUAGCUGCGUCACGGAAACCGUGGAAUGGUCCCCACAACUAGUUCCCAACGUUUACGGGGUGGACUACCAGGGUAUCUAAGCCUGUUUGCUCCCCACCCUUUCGCUCCUCAGCGUCAGUUACGGCCCAGAGAUCUGCCUUCGCCAUCGGUGUUCCUCCUGAUAUCUGCGCAUUCCACCGCUACACCAGGAAUUCCAAUCUCCCCUACCGCACUCUAGUCUGCCCGUACCCACUGCAGGCCCGAGGUUGAGCCUCGGGAUUUCACAGCAGACGCGACAAACCGCCUACGAGCUCUUUACGCCCAAUAAUUCCGGAUAACGCUUGCGCCCUACGUAUUACCGCGGCUGCUGGCACGUAGUUAGCCGGCGCUUUUUCUGCAGGUACCGUCACUCUCGCUUCUUCCCUGCUAAAAGAGGUUUACAACCCGAAGGCCGUCAUCCCUCACGCGGCGUUGCUGCAUCAGGCUUCCGCCCAUUGUGCAAUAUUCCCCACUGCUGCCUCCCGUAGGAGUCUGGGCCGUGUCUCAGUCCCAGUGUGGCCGGUCACCCUCUCAGGCCGGCUACCCGUCGACGCCUUGGUGAGCCAUUACCUCACCAACAAGCUGAUAGGCCGCGAGCCCAUCCCAGACCGAAAAAUCUUUCCAACCCCCACCAUGCGAUGAGAGCUCAUAUCCAGUAUUAGACGCCGUUUCCAGCGCUUAUCCCAGAGUCCAGGGCAGGUUGCUCACGUGUUACUCACCCGUUCGCCACUGAUCCACCAAGCAAGCUUGGCUUCACCG